UACGAAGGGGGCUAGCGUUGCUCGGAAUGACUGGGCGUAAAGGGCGCGUAGGCGGCUCAUACAGUCAGAUGUGAAAUUCCUGGGCUUAACCUGGGGGGCUGCAUUUGAUACGUGUGGGCUUGAGUGGGGAAGAGGGUCGUGGAAUUCCCAGUGUAGAGGUGAAAUUCGUAGAUAUUGGGAAGAACACCGGUGGCGAAGGCGGCGACCUGGUCCUUGACUGACGCUGAGGCGCGAAAGCGUGGGGAGCAAACAGG
rnacentral:rRNA from 1 species